AGUAAAUGAAAUACCACAUUGUGGAUCUAAAUGAACAUGAGCAUAAAUGGCCGCACAAUUCGUAGUUGCUACUCCGUGAUUGACCAGAGCAAUCGAAAUUUUACAAAAUGUCAUACCAGUUUUCUUUAAUGCUAGAUUUACUAUCAAGCGCACUAGUGGAAUUGAGUCCCGUGGUCAUCAGUGGGGACUUCAACGCCUGGGCGCUUGAGUAGGGCAGGACCGCGUUUGCGCUGUACACGACGAUCGAGGUUAUUUGGUAGUGUUGUACUUUUUACAACAGCGCGCGUGCUGAAGGGUUAACUAACCCGACAAGCUGAGCUCUACUCAAAACUAUGGCUGAACUAAACGUCGAUGUCGCGAACGUAGGCGAUAAAAAACCCUACAGUACGAACGGUGCAGAGUCUAAGGACUGUUCAAUUUAUAAAACGGACAACUUUCUUGUGCGAUAUCUUUUUUAUUUUUCAAUAAAAUCAUUAUCAGUUUUUUGCAUAACUUUCUAUAGCUAUCCUCAAUUGUAGGAAAAAUAUAACAUUAAGCAAAAUGCUCUUUAUUGUGUAACUGAAGCGGUUUUCGUAAAACAUCAAUAAAAACCCAUUUCUCAAAAUUCGACAUAAUUUUCCACAUAAUUAACAUGCACAUUUUCAUGAAGUUUUUAAUGUAUUAGAAUCUUAUAUUAUUCUACUAGAGGUAAAGCUCAAUAGUUGGUCAGUAAUAAUGCACCAAGCAGCCUCCAGCUUGAUAUAGUGAGUUGACUUGUUUUCAUAGAAAUUAUUAAAAAAUAUUUAUUUUAGUCCUGCAUUGCAUUAACACAACGGAUUCGGCUGAAAAUUUGUCCAGAGUAGUGAAAUAUUGCUUUCUUAGUGACACAAGAAAAACUCACUCUAAAUUGCAUUUUUUAUCAAAAAAAUAAUCCAUAAAGAUGGUCAUAAUAAAAAAUGGCAUACUUUUUGCUCCAUUGAUUCAGAUUUUCGACUCUAGUGAAUCUUGUAAUUAUUUAUUUUUAACAAAGUUGGUCCUAUGUUACUGUACACCUUAUUUAAUAAUAAUGGAAUGCUAAGUUUUUAUUUCCAUCAUCAUUGUUAUGCAAAAUUUGCAUUAGGUUGCAUUGUUAUUUGAAAGAACCUUCAAAGAACGAAGCUGUUUGGAUUACUGUGCCUGUAAUGGCGCACAGUAACCAAACCAGCAAUGCUAUUAAGAAGAAGUUUUCUGUAUUUCAAACCACAUUAUUCCUACUUUCGACUUGAUGCAUAAAACAGUUAUUUAUUUAAUAUUUUCAUGAACUUUUUGAUUUACAAUUGAAUUUUAUUCAAAAAAUCGAAUCUCACUUGAGACUUUAAUAUCUCAACAAUUAAUUUUCCAAUUAAGUUGAAAUUUCGCCAGAAUGUUUAUUACUCAUGCUGCUGCAGCAGGGAACAUACUUUUCUGAUAUUAAAAACGAUAUACCUUAUGUGAACAGUAGUUUUAUAUAUAUUUUCAAUUUUCAGCAAUCGAAAAAUUCAUCUCAUUUAACACCUGGCCGAUUUGCUAUAAAUUAAAACUAAUUUUAUUCGAUACAAAAAUUAUAACUAUAAUGAAAGAUGAUGCACUGAACAACGAAGCAAGGCUGGUGAAAUUUGAACUAUGCGUCUUCUUUUUAUAGCCUUGUAAAGUUGUGAACAGUCCUUAUCAUUGAUGUGACCUUUUGGAGCCCGGAUCUACACCCAAGCUCAGACUGGAGGGUCAACGAUGGGCACACGCACAGUGACCAUCUGGCGAUUCGAUACAAGAUGGAACACGGAAGAAGACUGCCAUUGCCGAAGGUCAUCGACAGUCAUCGGGCAUGGCUGAACUCGCGCUUCGAUAAGCCGAAAUUUGUGGAGCAAUUGCUUAAAGACCGGUCCAGAAAGUAUGGACGCAAUUAGAAAUUAGGGUAAAUGUACCAAUAGUGGUGCUACUAGUAGCUCGUUGUAGAAAAAUAAUUGAAUUAAAUUGAUAAUACCACAAAAUAAAAAGUCUGAAAACGUUAAUCGGUAGUUUUUCACUUAAAUUUGCUAGGAAAAAUGUAUAAAACAUUGUUUAUUUAAGUUUUUGCUAAUAAAUCACUUGCACCAACUAUAGGUACACGGUUCCUAUUAUGGAGGUAAAAUUUAACAUUGGUUCCUAUAGUGGCGCAUCCCAUUGGAUUCUUAUGGGAUCACCACUAUAGGAACACUACCACCACUAUAGGUGCAAAGGAGCAAAAAAUUUAAGGAAAAUAAUUGUUUAAAAUAGGUUUUUCGGCAAAUCCUGAACACAAAACUGAAUAAAUGUUAUUAAUUAGUUAUGAUGCAUCUAUUAAAAAUGUCAUUUGCAAGCUUUUUGUUCGAAAUAGUGCUAAAUUGGCAUUACCACCACUAUUGGUACUACCUCCACUAAGGGAGCUUUUACCCUACUGGCAUUUCAACACUAUUGAUGACUAGUUCUUUUUGAAAGCUACAUCCUGUUCGUCAACCUAUUUUCUCAACAUUUGUAUAGCAGUUUUUGCGAUUCCAACA